rnacentral:tRNA from 1 species
GCCGGUUUAGCUCAGUGGUAGAGCGCCGUCCCCGUAUGACGGAGGUCGGAGGUUCAAUUCCUCUCAAUCGGCA